UGCGUAGGGUGCGAGCGUUAAUCGGAAUUACUGGGCGUAAAGCGUGCGCAGGCGGUUCGUUGUGUCGGCGGUGAAAGCCCCGGGCUUAACCUGGGAAUGGCCGUUGAAACUGGCGAACUGGAGUGUGGCAGAGGGGGGUGGAAUUCCGCGUGUAGCAGUGAAAUGCGUAGAUAUUGGGAAGAACACCGGUGGCGAAGGCGGCUCACUGGCCCGUUUCUGACGCUCAGGCGCGACAGCGUGGGGAUCAAACAGG
rnacentral:rRNA from 1 species